rnacentral:rRNA from 1 species
UGGGGAAUCUUGGACAAUGGGGGCAACCCUGAUCCAGCCAUGCCGCGUGAGUGAUGAAGGCCUUAGGGUCGUAAAGCUCUUUCGCCUGUGAAGAUAAUGACGGUAGCAGGUAAAGAAACCCCGGCUAACUCCGUGCCAGCAGCCGCGGUAAUACGGAGGGGGUUAGCGUUGUUCGGAAUUACUGGGCGUAAAGCGCACGUAGGCGGACCAGAAAGUUGGGGGUGAAAUCCCGGGGGCUCAACCCCGGAACUGCCUCCAAAACUAUUGGUCUAGAGUUCGAGAGAGGUGAGUGGAAUUCCAAGUGUAGAGGUGAAAUUCGUAGAUAUUUGGAGGAACACCAGUGGCGAAGGCGGCUCACUGGCUCGAUACUGACGCUGAGGUGCGAAAAGUGUGGGGAGCAAAACAGGAUUAGAUACCCUGGUAGUCCACGCCGUAAAACGAUGUCUGCUAGACGUCGGGGGGCGCAGCCCUUCGGUGUCGCAGCUAACGCAUUAAGCAGACCGCCUGGGGGAGUACGGCCGCAAGGUUAAAACUCAAAAUG